GGGAGCUGCUCUGCGAAACUGGGCGUUCAAUGUUCUUAUGGGGGAACAAUACUAGAAAGAGAAUAGAAAGAGCCUUCAAAAAAGAGCAAGUGAGUGAUGGGCAACCUUAGUCUAUAUGUUGCUUGUGAACCGCCAAGUACCAGUCUCGCAACAGUACUGGCGUUAAAGGAUUGGUCUUUCACUUGCUGAUCGUUCGCGAGUCGAACUCGCUCUCUUGCCACGCCUUUCAC
rnacentral:lncRNA from 1 species